rnacentral:rRNA from 1 species
AUCUGGCCCCCGCCGGGGUCCGAGUUGUAAUUUGUAGAGGGUGUUUCGGGCGAGCCACCGGUCUAAGUUUCUUGGAACAAAACGUCACGGAGGGUGAGAAUCCCGUCUGCGACCGGGGUGCGGCGAGCCCAUGUGUAACCCCUUCGACGAGUCGAGUUGUUUGGGAAUGCCGCUCAAAAUGGGUGGUAAAUUCCAUCUAAAGCUAAAUACUGGCCAGAGACCGAUAGCGGACAAGUAGAGUGAUCGAAAGAUGAAAAGCACUUUGGAAAGAGAGUCAAACAGUACGUGAAAUUGUUGAAAGGGAAGCGCUUGCGACCAGACCGGUCCGGGGGCGAUCAGCCGCGGCUCGCCCGCGGUGCACUCGCCCUCGAUCCGGCCAGCAUCGGUUCGGGCGGCGGGAUAAAAGGCCCGGGAAUGUAGCUCUCCUCGGGGAGUCUUAUAGCCCGGGUCGCAAUGCCGCCCGCCCGGACCGAGGACCGCGCUUCGGCUAGGAUGCUGGCGUAAUGGUUGCAAGCGACCCGUCUUGAAACACGGACCAAGGAGUCUAACAUCUAUGCGAGUGUUUGGGUGGCAAGCCCGGGCGCGGAAUGAAAGUGAACGGAGGUGGGAGCCCUCGGGCGCACCAUCGACCGAUCCUGAUGUCUUCGGAUGGAUUUGAGUAUGAGCAUAGCUGUUGGGACCCGAAAGAUGGUGAACUAUGCCCGGAUAGGGUGAAGCCAGAGGAAACUCUGGUGGAGGCUCGCAGCGGUUCUGACGUGCAAAUCGAUCGUCAAAUCUAGGCAUAGGGGCGAAAGACCAAUCGAACCAUCU